rnacentral:lncRNA from 1 species
UGUUGGUGCUGUAUAUACAACUGAUUUAUGAUAAAAACAAAUACUGGUGUUUUUGUCAUUAAUAUUGGUACCAAUAAUGUUCAUACAUAAUCAAGUCAAAAGUCAUUUCCACAAGCUCGAAUAAACAGUCGAAAAAGCGCAACUUUUCCCAAAAUGGCACAAUUAGACGUCGAGAAAAAAUACUUUUAACUUUGACGACUUGAUGACAUACCC